rnacentral:lncRNA from 1 species
GAGAAAAGCGGGGACAGCUCUAUUAGACAUGAAACUGUGACCACGCUUCAGAGUCCCCUUUCCCACAGCAGCCAAGUUGCAAACAAAAGGGGGUAAAAGGACAAGGAAAUCUUACCACUUGCACAAGAAAACGGAAAGGAAGAUGGCAAAAGCUGACGCUACUGAUGCUUAUCUCUAAAGGACUCUGGAAAGCCACACCUCCCUCCCUCCAGAAACACCCGAGGGAGGGGUGGUUAGCUUAUUAGUGGACUUCAGGAGGCAACAGAUUUCAGUGAGUGUUGACAUCUGUCCUAACUCACUUCCCUAAACCACACUCAGCCUUCUCCAGCAAGAUCCAGCGUGAGGACAUCAAGCUGUUUCCUAACAGUGAGUGCCUUGUACACACUAGGCAACUAGCGAACAUUCACUGAUGGAUUAUAAAACAGAGAAGGGGUGGAGAACAUCCAACAUGGGGAUUCUGUGUGCUCUUGUAAGAUGUUUCUGCAGUUCCACCCUCGCCCUUCGCUCGUCCACUCAGACAGGAGGUGCUGGAUCACAACGGUCAGCGCUUCAAACUUGGUGUUACCACGGGAAAGAAGCUGUCUGAGGUGCAGGAUGAAUCCACUUUGGCUUUCACAUUUUGUCUUGUAUUGGGCCAACUCAAGCGUUCUCUCGGAGGACAGCACAUCUGGAGCUGUCUGGGUCUGGAUGCAUAGGCUCCUGGGAUUCUUCUGCCUGCCCUUUUCAACUGCAAGAGGAAGGAAAGAAAAGCACAAAGAAGAUGCGCGUGAGGUUAACUAAUUUUUAUAACCACCACCACCACAUGGGGCUCACAACCAGCCUACUGCCGCCACACCAGAGCAUCUGAACCAUGUUUUACGUUGGGACGUACACAUGGUGGCAGGCUGGAGUAGAUCGGGGAUCAGGAUGGGUGGAACUCGUCAACAGGGCCAAUGGCUUUAGUUCUCACUGUGAAGAUUUAAUGGGGAGUUAUGCACAUGAGCCAAACAGAUUUAGCAACUCAGAAACAUAAAACACUGGAGGCAGGGAAGAGGCAAAAUAGUGACUUCGUGGCCUUUAUUUUUAAUUCACCAUUGUUGUCUGUGUUCAUGAUGUUAUGUGCAUGAGAGUACAGGUUCUCAAAGACUACUGCGGUCCUGUGGCGGUCAGAGGACCACCUCCUAGAGCUGGUUUCCUUUUACUAUGAGUUCCAGGAUCAAGCGCAGGUCACUAGGCUUGCAUGGCAAGCACUUUCACCUGCUGAGCCAUCCCUCCAACUCCACUUCAUAGUUUUUACUCUUCCAGUUAAGUUGACAAAUCUGAAAGUCCUUUCCUGUGUCUGUUGGGGUAGUCCCGCGAUUUCUGUCCUUGAGUCCGUUUGUGUGUGCAUACGCGCAUGUGUAUGUAAGGGGGCAGGGGGAGAGAGAACGAAUGUGAGUCUGCUAUCACAGUGACGCAGUAAAUUAUACCAGGUGACGAAAAGGAACAAGAGUGGCACUGCACUCAUGACACAGGCUGAACAAAGUACAAUUAUACAGUAGGCAGAACUAAGACACACUAUUCAAACGGUUUCCCAUUUUGGAGAAAUGCUGAAGCUAGCCGGUAGUGCACUUAAAUCUAGGAUGCGGUUUAAAUCCCCUUGUGUCUUCAAACAGACGAUGAAAGGGUAUGAUUAAAAAGCAGAGAUUUAAAAAAAAAAAGAAAAGAAAAGAAAAAAGAAAUCAUGGGAUAAGCACUGAGGAAAAUUCUGAUUAUUGGACUUGAAAUGCUUUUCUUUCCUCUCGAAGGCUCCUUUUUAAAAAAUUUGUUAGACUGGGCAUGGUGACACACACUUUUAAUUUAAUUGCUUGGGGGCUGGGGGUGGGGAGGCAGGUGGAUCUCUGAGUUCCAAGACAGCCUGGUCUACAGAGGUUUUGUAGGCCAACUGAGGAGGCGCACUGAGACCCUGCCACCAAAUAAAUGAGUACAUGUGUUAUUUUUGUUUGUUUGUCAGCAUGCUAAGUAAUAGGCUUCAUUAUAGUAUUUCAUAGAUGAUUUGUUUAAGUUUUAGUAAGUUCUUCACAGUUGCUUGCUGGUCUGCCUCCUCCACCCUAAAGCCCUCCCAUUUUCCCAGGAAACCCUUCCUCCUUUACCUCACUGCCCCCUGUACCCUUUCCACAAACACCUCCCACAGAGCUGUCUUCCCCGCUGUCUUUCUGGUCAUUGUCACAGUCUACUCUGCAGAUGUCACCGAAAUCUAAUGACCCAGCAUAUACACUGGAGAUCCUGCACUUUGCUCCUCCGAGGUUACUGGGAAAAGCAGCGUGUGCCUGUGCGCCUGGAUACACUGCCUCAUUUUUCAACAAGCGCAAACUUCGUUCCCCGUGUAGU